rnacentral:rRNA from 1 species
UACGUAGGGUGCAAGCGUUGUCCGGAAUUAUUGGGCGUAAAGAGCUCGUAGGCGGUUUGUUGCGUCGGCUGUGAAAUCCCGAGGCUCAACCUCGGGUCUGCAGUCGAUACGAGCAAACUAGAGUGUUGCAGGGGAGACUGGAAUUCCUGGUGUAGCGGUGAAAUGCGCAGAUAUCAGGAGGAACACCGAUUGCGAAGGCAGCUCGCUGGGACGUAACUGACGCUGAGACGCGAAAGCGUGGGGAGCAAACAGG